rnacentral:sRNA from 1 species
AUUUUCGUGAAAAUUUCAGAUCUUGUAGAUAUUGAUAAAAACCUUAUAUAUAAUUUUUUAUUUUAAUGACGUCAUUUCCGUUCGGGAGAUAUUGACGUUUUAGUGAUUUUUAGAGGGUCAUUUUGUCCUGCUAUCUCCUCCUAAACGAAAAAAGAUAUUGAAUUUAAAUUUUCAGGGAUUGUAGACAAAAGAUUGUAGAUGUGUUUAAAGGCAUUUGUGGUUGUCUGGCUUCAAAGGCGUCGAAGCUCGCCUGGACCCGAAAAUCGAGUUUAAAAAAACGACGUAAUUUUUAAUGGUUUUCGUUCUUUAUCUCCUUUCCUGAAAAUAUUUUAACAUAACAUAUAGAGCAAAUAAAAUUUAUAUUUACAGGAUCUUCCGUUUGAUAACAAGAAAAAGGGGCUGGUCCCUUAAAUAAGGGGCCAAAAGGGCUCUAAAGUCUUUCUCCCAUAGCACUUUACUGAGAAAUAUUUUGUAAUAUGUUUAAGAAGCAAAAAUGUUCAUCUUUUACUAAUAAAACUAUACAUUAUAAAUUUUUUAUUAUGCGUUACGUAAUUAGGGGUUUUAAGGGGCCAAAAAUCCAAAACUUCGAUCGAAUAUAUCUCAAAAAGGACAAAUAUUUUGAAAAGCAAUAUAGAAAAAAAGAUGCUUAGAAUGAUGUUUUAAACAAUAUUCAAUCAUAAAAUUUUCGUUAUCUGGCCCCAAUAAGGAGAUUAGGGGUCGGCCCCUAAAAUGUCCUUUCCCAGAUAGCUCUUAAACGGCAAAGAAUUUUUAAACACUUGUUGAACAAAAUAUGUUUAAUAUCAAAAGAACUUUCGUAUGAUGCCAAGAAAAAGGGGCUGGCCCUUCAAUUUAGGGGCCAAAAUGGCUCUAAAGUCUUUCUUCUAUAGCACUUUACUGAGAAAUGUUUUGUAAUAUGUUUAAGAAGCAAAAAUGUUCAUCUUUCACUAAUAAAACUAUACAUU